GAUGAAGAACGUAGCGAAAUGGGAUAAGUAAUGUGAAUUGCAGAAUUCAGUGAAUCAUCGAAUCUUUGAACGCACAUUGCGCCCGCCAGUAUUCUGGCGGGCAUGCCUGUCUGAGCGUCAUUUCAACCCUCAUGCCCCUAGGGCGUGGUGUUGGGGAUCGGCCAAAGCCCGCGAGGGACGGCCGGCCCCUAAAUCUAGUGGCGGACCCGUCGUGGCCUCCUCUGCGAAGUAGUGAUAUUCCGCAUCGGAGAGCGAUGAGCCCCUGCCGUUAAACCCCCAACUUUCCAAGGUUGACCUCAGAUCAGGUAGGAAUACCCGCUGAACUUAAGCAUAUCAAUAAGCGGAGGA
rnacentral:misc_RNA from 1 species